ACAAGUACCGAAGACGCAAUACAGGAAUUAGUAAAUGGAUCUGGCGGGCGUUGGAGUUUUUAAGCUGCGUUGUGAAUAAAGAUGUCAUCCAAGUCAUUAGGGCUUAGGAGGCGUAUCUUAAUCCUGGACGAGAUACGUGGUCCUAAACUCGGGGUUGUUUUAAAAUCUUUUGUUGAGUCUUUUUGAACUCCUUAAAACAUGUUAUGGUUGUGUUGUUAUGA
rnacentral:lncRNA from 1 species